CGAAGUAGUGGAGAGGAGGAAGGUGGAAUGAUUGGAGAGGAGAGGGGGAAGGAUGAAUGGAAGGAGUGGAGAGGAGGAAGGUGGAAGGGAAGGAGUGGAGAGGAGGAAGGUGGAAGGGAAGGAGUGGAGAUGAGGAAGGAUGAAGGGAAGGAGUGGAGAGGAGGAAGGUGGAAGGAAAGGAGUAGAGAGGAGAGGAGGAAGGUGGAAGGGAAGUAGUGGAGAGGGGGAAGGAGGUAGGGAAGGAGUGGAGAUGAGGAAGGUGAAAGGCAAGGAGUGGAGAGAGGAAGGUGGAAGGGAAGUAGUGG
ensembl:lncRNA